rnacentral:rRNA from 1 species
UCGGGAAUUUUGCACAAUGGCCGAAAGGCUGAUGCAGCAACGCCGCGUGAGCGAAGAAGGCCUUCGGGUUGUAAAGCUCUGUUGCCUGCGAAGAAGGGCCCUGUCAGGAAAUGGGCGGGGUUUGACGGUAGCAGGCGAGGAAGCCCCGGCAAACUACGUGCCAGCAGCCGCGGUAAUACGUAGGGGGCGAGCGUUGUCCGGAAUUACUGGGCGUAAAGGGCGUGUAGGCGGCCUGUUAAGUCAGGGGUGAAAGACCGGGGCUCAACCCCGGGGGUGCCUCUGAAACUGGCGGGCUUGAGUGCUCUAGAGGGCAGUGGAAUUCCCGGUGUAGCAGUGAAAUGCGUAGAGAUCGGGAGGAACACCAGUGGCGAAGGCGGCUGCCUGGGGAGGCACUGACGCUGAGGCGCGAAAGCUAGGGGAGCAAACAGG